UCGCCAUGUUGUUUCACCCAAAACAAGAAAGCCGAACAACUAAGAGGAGUUUGAGAAGCCGUCUUGUGCUGCUAUUAAUUGCACAAAUCGUGAUACUCGUGAAAAUCGCGAGAAGGGACUUACAUUUCACAGAUUUCCACACUGCAAUGCUCAACUUCUAAAGCAAUUGGUAGUGAAUAUGCGGAGAGACAGGUGGAUUCCUGCAGCCAGAUCGCAACGCUGUUCAAGUCAUUUCACCGAGGAGAACUUCGACAGGACCGGUGUUGAUUACGACAAACAAUAUUUGACUUUCCCGAUCAUCUUCUAAAGAAAGACAAAGAGAGACAAAGUGGACUCACGUUGCAGCAGUUGAAGGCCAGCUGGAGGAAGUCCGGUGGACAGUCACCAACCAUGUGCUGGAAGGUGUGAUAGUCCAGGCCGAAGUUCUGCUCAGUGGCACAAAGGAGCAUAUGUAAAAAUAUACAGUAAGCAGUGCUGCUACCUACAGGACUUGAGUGGAACAGCAAGGCCUGGCAGGUCAGUUCUUUGCUCACACAAGUGAGAUGGACAUGUUUGUUAUUCCUUGGGGGAGGUGAGAUGGAUGUUGUGUGGGUGUGUGCUCACCUCGGUGCGGGGGAGAAAAUCGGGGUCAGCCUGGAUCCUGGCAAUGAUCUCACACAGGAUGAUGCCGUAAGAGAAGACAUCAGCCUGAAAGACACACAAUGGACGUGUUCCAAACAUUCAAAAUGGAUCUUGUAGUUUUGUUCCUCAAUGAAUAAAUAGGGGACACGAUGACUCACCUUCUCGUUGUAAGGUUCAUCCCUCAGAACCUCAGGAGCCAUCCAGAAAGGAGAACCAACCACUGAAAGCUUCUCUCGCUCCGUGCUGCAUUAAACACAAGAGAAAACAUCAUUUUGGUAUUUUCUGUAAGUUCUUAGUCAAGUCAUUUUCAUGAGAAGAGUAUCUUUGUUGGAGGCUUGGUGGACUUCUGCUCUCUACACAUAAUGACAAAAUAUAUACAGUACUCUACAUGAGUUAGAGUAUAUAGUGUUUGAAGGAUGCUUGGGAAGUUCUGUGCUCUUCUGAGUGACAUUUCAGUUCAUAGGGUGCAAACGUAAAGUUGAACAAAUCCUCUUAUGAUGCUGGCUUCACGUUGUGUGUCAACAGAGUUGCAAAACAUAAAACACAGGAUUAGCACUUUGCACUCCCUUGCAUUCCUAGCAUGCCUCUAAUUAACAUAACAUUGCACAUGAAAUACACUUUCCUAUUUUUUUUUUUAAACAUCUGGAUACAUUUAGUCAAAAUGACAAUGACAACGACACCCCCACACCUCCACCCACCCACGCAAUACCUUACAUACAUUAAGUGAGGACAACAAACCCCUUCUUUAUCAUUUACAUAUGCUGACCUGUCAUCCUUCAAGAAAUGUUAUGGGUACUCCCCUCCAGCCCUAUGCUGGGGCCAUUGAUUUUAUUAUACAUAUAUAUACACAUACACACGUCUUAUGUACAUUUUGUGAGGACAACACCCACCUCUUAUUCUUUAGAUAUAUUUAGUACCCCCCUCCCAAUUUAUAUUUUUAAAAGACUAAAAGAUGUACAUACACACACACACACACACACACACACACACACACACACACACACACACACACACACACACACACACACACACACACACACACACAGCUUACAUACCUGUACAUUUAGUGAAGACAACGACCCCCCUCUUUAUGUCUUGAUGUAAAUGUUAAGUCCUGCAUGAGACUAACAAGGCGCUUACAGUGCAUAAUCAAAAAGGGAUUAACUAGUAAGAAACUAAAUUUGGGGCUUAAUGGUGGGCGGUCAGCAUGUGCCUUUUUUUUUUUAUAAAUAAGAGCAUGGUGGCAGUAGAUUUAAUAGUACUAAAACCAAUGGAUCAAUGCUGGCAGACGUGUUGAUCGAACAAUAUGUUUAUUCUUGUACUUUUGGUUUGCACUGGUGUAAAAGCACAUUAUGUUUCUGUGCUUCGUUAAAUCAAAUCUGAGUGUUGUGGUUGCUAACACAAGGUGUAAGUGAAGUGGAGCACUUACAGAUUAGCAGGGAUCUUCUCGGCCAAACCAAAGUCUCCCACCACUGCCGUGUAGCUGUUGUCGUCACAUUUGAUCAAGCAGUUCUGUGGAGAGCAGACACCAUUGCCAUUAUUAUUAUUAUUAUUAUAUAUUAAUAUUUACAACCUAUGGUCUGAUUAUAAGCAUGAUGUCAUAAGCGCUUCACAGCUAUGCCUUGCUGAACUCUGUUACGUCGGCAGGGGGCAGUGUUUAGCCAAAUAGCCUGCCAAUGAUGGUUUUGUGUUGAAGGGAGCACACCCACCUUAGAGGUGAGGUCCCGGUGGAAGAUGCCUUUGGUGUGCAGGUAGGCCAGACCGCUGGCAAUGUCGCUGCCCAGUUUGACCCUGGCGGGCCAGCUCAGGUGCUUGUUGCUGUCCAGAAGCUGCUCCAGGUUGCCACCGUUGAUGUACUGGCCAAUACAACACAAGAUAAACAUCAAUGUACAUAUAGAACAAUGGAAAUGUAUUAAAUGAUUCAAACCUAAAUGCUACUGUCAAGGAAACAUUUGCUAAAUAAUGCAAGCAGUAGAACUAACAAUUACGUUUUGUUUCAGAUUAAAUUUUAUUUCAGACACUCAUGCUGAUUUGACACUGCUGUAGGUUCUGGGUCAGAAUUGGCUCAACCGAACAACAAGUUUUACUCUCUGCUGACUGAGCGACGGGUGUCUUUGCCUCUGGCCCAAAAGAACUUGCGUGACCUCACUGCUUGCACGCAAACACACAAAGACACGCUAAUCCGGUGUGAACGUGUCACGGAAGACCAGUGGUUAACUGAACAGAGCUGAGAUGGGAUCAAGACCUGGGUCUAAGUUGGUGAUCAGGCGCAGAAUUAGGCCAUGAGGGGCUGAUGGCUGUUAAAUGACACACGAGGAAAUCAAUUCAUGACAUCACAGCAUCCUGUAAAACACCACAUUGCAACUAUUCUCAAUGUUCUCUAGUCAGAUUAAUAGCAACUAAAGUGGGAGGGAUGCUAAAACAAAGAAGAAAAAAAAGCAUUGAGGACUUGUUUAUACAUCACUGCCCAUCACAGCAAGCAGUCUAUUCAGAGUCACGCAUAUACAGUAUAAAGGUCUCCUACAAAUACUAAUGCAACACUUUAUGCUGUAGACCACAUACGAGGCCAAUGCCAGGAGGUGUUGCAGCAAAACAUUGGCCUGCUCACAUUCUGAAAACUACUGUGUGUGUGUGUGUGUGUGUGUAAGCAAGGAAAUAAAGGAGCGUUGUUUGCUAGCAGCUUUGUAAUCCUCCAAUUGCUUGUGAAUUACUGUCAGAGGAGAUCAGGCUUUUAGACAAUCAGAAGCCAAAAGAAAGAGGCACAAUAACAACAACUAAGACUUGGCUAGUUUUCCAAAAAGUCACUUUAUACACAGCCUCUGAAGAGGCCACUCUUCAUGGGAGCGUCCCCUCUCUCGCUGGUCUAUUUGGGGGUCAGAUGACAAAACAGCAAAACAGCAUGAGGCCGCAACUUGAGUUCAGUUUGGUUGUGACGUAACACAACAGGAUCUGUUUACGCAGCCAGACCCAUCGCAGUGUGUCCAUCAGUUAUGCCACUCACACUUGUGUGUGUGCGUGUUAAAUAUAAGCCGUGUGCUAAAGUUUGUGACAUCAAGCAACGGCAAUAUUAAAAGUUGUCCCGAAUCAAGUGUUUAAUGAGUGUAAAUUGUGUUUUUGUGUCCCGAGAAAAGGCUGCAGAAAUGUGAUG